rnacentral:tRNA from 2 species
GGGGGUAUAGCUCAGAUGGUAGAGCGCUUGGUUCGCAUUCAAGAGGUCAGGGGUUCGAUUCCCCUUAUCUCCACCA